rnacentral:rRNA from 1 species
ACAGCAGUAGCCACGGGAAUACGUAGGUGGCAAGCGUUGUCCGGAAUUAUUGGGCGUAAAGGGCUCGCAGGCGGUUUCUUAAGUCUGAUGUGAAAGCCCCCGGCUCAACCGGGGAGGGUCAUUGGAAACUGGGAAACUUGAGUGCAGAAGAGGAGAGUGGAAUUCCACGUGUAGCGGUGAAAUGCGUAGAGAUGUGGAGGAACACCAGUGGCGAAGGCGACUCUCUGGUCUGUAACUGACGCUGAGGAGCGAAAGCGUGGGGAGCGAACAGGAUUAGAUACCCCGGUAGUCCCUGUCUCUUAUAC